AGAGAGAGACAUGCGCGCAUAUCAAUAAGCGGAGGAAAAGAAACUAACAAGGAUUCCCCUAGUAACGGCGAGUGAAGCGGGAAGAGCUCAAAUUUGAAAUCUUAAAGGGUUUCCCUUUACGAAUUGUAGUUUAAAGAAGUGUUUUCUGUUGAGGUUUUGGUAAAAGUUCUUUGGAAUAGGACAUCAUAGAGGGUGAGAAUCCCGUAUUUGACCUUUACUUUCAACUUUGUGAUACACUUUCAAAGAGUCGGAUUGUUUGGGAAUGCAGUCCAAAAUGGGUGGUAAAUUUCAUCUAAAGCUAAAUAUUGGCGAGAGACCGAUAGCGAACAAGUACCGUGAGGGAAAGAUGAAAAGAACUUUGAAAAGAGAGUUAAACAGUACGUGAAAUUGUCAAAAGGGAAGCGUUUGACACCAGUGUUGUUUUUCUGAAAUCAAUUAAAGAACUGUUUAUGCUAAGUUGUUUAGACUUUAUCAGCUAACUGUUUAGUUUUGAGCUUUUCUUUAAUGCACUUUUCAGUUAACAAGUCAACAUCAAUUUCUUUUGCUGUAAAAAAGCUUGAGGAAGGUGGCUUGAGAUUCGUCUUAAGUGUUUAUAGCCUCUUGCCUAUGCAGUCGGAGAGAUUGAGGUCUGCAGCGUAGAUCCUUCGGGGCUAAAUGCAUUUGUGCUAAGUUAUAGCAUUUUAUAGACAACUUGUUGACUAUGAUUUGUCUUGUAGCUUACUCGCUUAUGUUAUUUUACCUACGCUUAGGAUGUUGACGCAUGAGAUAUACGC
rnacentral:rRNA from 1 species